GAUGAAGAACGUAGCGAAAUGCGAUACGUAAUGUGAAUUGCAGAAUUCAGUGAAUCAUCGAAUCUUUGAACGCAUAUUGCGCUCUCUGGUAUUCCGGAGAGCAUGCUUGUUUGAGUAUCAGUAAACACCUCAACUUCCAUAUCUUUUUUUGAAAUGGGAGUUGGACUUGAGUGAUCCCAACGCUUUUCCUCACCGAAAAGUGGCGGGUUACUUGAAAUGCAGGUGCAGCUGGACUUUUCUGUGAGCUAUAAGCAUAUCUAUUUAGUCUGCCUAAAAAACAGAUUAUUACCUUUGCUGCAGCUAACAUAAAGGAGAUUAGUUCUUGUGCUGACUGAUGCAGGAUUCACAAAGACAGCUUCGGCCGACUUUGUAAACUCGAUCUCAAAUCAAGUAAGACUACCCGCUGAACUUAAGCAUAUCAAUAAGCGGAGGA
rnacentral:misc_RNA from 1 species